GUUGAACGCUGGCGGCGUGCUUUACACAUGCAAGUCGAACGAACGGACGCCACACUUUCCUCUCUGAUGUCAGCCGCGGACGUGUUACUACCACGCGGAUCACGUCCUUGUAAAUCUCUGAUCACUUCGGGAAAUCGUACCGCAUACCAGCUAAUAAUGUGAACCGCAUGCCUCAAAGGCGAAAGACGUUCUUGCUGCCACUUAUAGAUGGAUCAGCGCUGGAUUAGCUAGUUGGUAAGGUAACGGCUUACCAAGGCAACGAUGCGUAGCAGGCCUGAGAGGAUGAUCGGCCACACUGGAACUGAGACACGGUCCAGACUCCUACGGGAGGCAGCAGUAGGGAAUUUUGGACAAAGGGCGAAAGCCUGACGGAGCAAUGCCGCGUGCAGGAAGAAGGUCUUCGGAUUGUAAACCGCUGUUAUAAGGGAAGAACAUAUGUGUGUGAAUACCUGCACAUCAUGACGGUACCGAAACAAAAAGCCACGGCUAACUACGUG
rnacentral:rRNA from 1 species